rnacentral:rRNA from 1 species
AUUGAACGCUGGCGGAAUGCUUUACACAUGCAAGUCGAACGGCAGCACGGGGGCAACCCUGGUGGCGAGUGGCGAACGGGUGAGUAAUAUAUCGGAACGUGCCCAGUCGUGGGGGAUAACGUAGCGAAAGUUACGCUAAUACCGCAUACGAUCUACGGAUGAAAGCGGGGGAUCGCAAGACCUCGCGCGAUUGGAGCGGCCGAUAUCAGAUUAGGUAGUUGGUGGGGUAAAGGCUCACCAAGCCAACGAUCUGUAGCUGGUCUGAGAGGACGACCAGCCACACUGGGACUGAGACACGGCCCAGACUCCUACGGGAGGCAGCAGUGGCGAAUUUUGGACAAUGGGCGCAAGCCUGAUCCAGCCAUUCCGCGUGCAGGACGAAGGCCUUCGGGUUGUAAACUGCUUUUGUACGGAACGAAAAAGCCUUGGCUAAUACCCAGGGUCCAUGACGGUACCGUAAGAAUAAGCACCGGCUAACUACGUGCCAGCAGCCGCCGUAA